GCGCCUGCGCGGACCACAUUCAGGAAGUGAGGUCUCUUGUCACCCUGGAGCCGGUUUCAAACCGAAAGUUGAUCUGGUUGCCUUGGGGGUUACACUUCCUGGCCCAGGUGAGGAGUCAUACUAAGCUGAGCCACCGAGUUUUGCAGCUGGAGGAUGCGAGGCAGCAGUAGAAGCCAGGAGGGCACCCAAAGCAAAACUGAAGUAAAAGGCCUGUAUGGGCGCAACUCCUUCGUCACCCCAAAGAGCCAAGAUGAGGACAUUCCCACCUAGAAGUAAAGGAAACAAUUUGACAGGCACUUUGUAGAGGAAGAGGUGGCUGUAUUAGUUGGUAGGAUGUUGUGAUGUUACACCAAGACCACAUUGUAAUUAAGGUACUCCAACCCACCAUCACCAGAGAACGGCAUUACACCUCAUCUUCAUACAUGGUAACACUGUUUAGAUGAGACACCCCGGCUUCCUACUCCUGCCACUGUGACUUUGCUCCCCCACCAUGGACUCCAACCCUCUGAAACCCCAAGCCCGCAGUUUUUGUCCUAUAAAGUGAUUUCAUCAAGUGUUUUAUCAGAGCAAUUACACAGUAAUUAAUGUA